GACCUCAAAUCAGGUAAGAGUACC
rnacentral:rRNA from 1 species